AUGGCGUCGCCGCCUCCCCCCGCCUUCGCUCUCGGCUCUCUGGAUGCCGUCCGCCUCUUCGUCCAGGCCAACGGGCGGGUCCACUUCUACGACGCCGUGGAGAUCACGUCCAUGCGUGUGAGGGAUGCGCGGGAAGCGCUCAGGCUUCUGCCAGCGCCGCAGCCUGAAGGUGCGGCGAGGCUUCCGCCGCCGUCGCCGCCGCGCGAAGAUGGGGCGAGGCUGAUCAUCACCAACAACCGCGCCCGCGUCGAGCACCUCGCCACCGCCGGCCUCAUGCUGGAGUCCACGGACAUGAUCCUGGACGACCUGCUCCGAGAGGUGAACGAGCGACGCGUCAACCAGGAGCAUGUCGAGGGGCUGCGCCGCAACGCGCAAUUCAUCAUCAACAGCGUCGUCCUCCAGGACCCUCUCUUCUUCUCCUUCGUCGACGAUGUCGCCAAGGAGAUGCUCGGCGUCGCCGACAAGUUGAAGCCGCCGUGCCGCUACUUCGCGCAGCUGCAUCACGCGCUGCAGACCCUCAAGGCGACCGUGAACGCGCUUCGAGACCGAGACGUCGUUCUCUCGACCCCGAGCCCGACGAGCGACCUGCCCGCGCCAGGCCCCGCCGUGAUCCUGGGCAUCGGCGCGCCCUCACCCGCGCCCGCGACAGGCCCCGCCGUGAUCCUGGCCAUCGGCGCGGCCUCGCCCGCGCCCGCGCCGGCGACCGGCCCCGCCGCCGAGCCGCUCGCCGUGGACGAGGAGGAGGCGCCCGCGUCCGAGAAGCCGCUCGCCGUGGAUGAGGAGGAGGCGGCCGCGUCCGAGAAGCCGCUCGCCCUGGAGAAGAAGGCGGCCGCGUCCGAGAAGCCGCUCGCCCUGGAGGAGAAGGCGGCCGCGUCCGAGAAGCCGCUCGCCCUGGAGGAGAAGGCGGCCGCGUCCGAGAAGCCGCUCGCCCUGGAGGAGAAGGCGGCCGCGUCCGAGACUCCGCUCACCCUGGAGGAGAAGGCGGCCGCGUCCGAGCAGCCGAAGGCGCUCGCCCUGCAGGAGAAGGCGGCCGCGUCGGAGAAGCAGAAGUCGCUCGCCCUCGAGGAGAAGACCGCCGCGUCGGAGAAGCUGAUGGCGCCCAUCAACGCCGACCUCGCCGACCCGGAGGCACUCGACGCCUCAGAGGCCACCGCAGACGCGUUCCGCCCAGGCUCAACCGAUGGGCCCGCUCCGGAUGCCGCCGGCGUGGAGGAUGAUACCGCAGCAUGA
rnacentral:rRNA from 1 species